rnacentral:rRNA from 1 species
GUCCACACUGUAAACGUUGAUUACUCGCUGUGUGCGAUAUACAGUACGCGGCCAAGCGAAAGCGCUAAGUAAUCCACCUGGGGAGUACGCCGGCAACGGUGAAACUCAAAGGAAUUGACGGGGUCCGCACAAGCGGUGGAGCAUGUGGUUUAAUUCGAUGAUACGCGAGGAACCUUACCUGGGCUAGAAUGCCUGCGACCGGUCCAGAGAUGGACUUUUCCGCAAGGACGCGGAGCAAGGUGCUGCAUGGCUGUCGU